GUCAAAUUUAUGCUAGAUUGACUGGACUACAUGGGUAAAUGACUGUUAAUAUUAUUGAAAUACCUUCUUUAAUAGUACAUACAUUUUGUACCUACAUGUCUUAAAUUAUAUACAGGCUCGUUUUUGUGUCUGGUAUUUCAAAAACUUUUUACAGAUGUCAUCCUUCUACGUAUGUUGUGCUUGCUCUACGCAGUAACACAGGGCGUAACCCGUUGUAAAAAAAUUAAUUUGUGAGGGUUGAUAUUUGUGUCUCAUAAUCUUUCUACUUAUGUUGUGCUUACUCUACACCGUAACACGGGGCGUAACCAUUGUAAAAAAAAAUGUUGUGAGAUAAGCAAUCUGCAUGACCUAAUGUUAAACGGACGUUUAGCAUACCAAUAAAUGUACAUUUGUAUUUCUACAACUAAUAUGACCCACCAUGUUACAAGGUUUUCGUGAGAUAAAAGAGGUCUCCAUGAUCUUGUAAAAUAAAUGAUUUGAAUACCAAUAAAUGUCCUUAAAUGAAAUUUUAAUUUAUGAACCAAGCCG
rnacentral:lncRNA from 1 species